rnacentral:rRNA from 1 species
UACGUAGGGAGCGAGCGUUGUCCGAAGUUACUGGGCGUAAAGCGCGCGUAGGCGGGCUGUUAAGUGAGAGGUGAAAGGCUGGGGCUCAACCCCAUGCAGUGCCUCUCAUACUGGCGGUCUUGAGUGCGGCAGGGAGAAGUGGAAUGGCUGGUGUAGCGGUGAAAUGCGCAGAUAUCAGGAAGAACACCCGUGGCGAAGGCGGCUCUCUGGUACGUGACUGACGCUGAGACGCGAAAGCGUGGGGAGCGAACAGG